rnacentral:rRNA from 1 species
UACGUAGGGUGCAAGCGUUAAUCGGAAUUACUGGGCGUAAAGCGUGCGCAGGCGGUGAUGUAAGACAGAUGUGAAAUCCCCGGGCUUAACCUGGGAAUGGCAUUUGGGACUGCAAGGCUGGAGUGCGGCAGAGGAGACUGGAAUUCCUGGUGUAGCAGUGAAAUGCGUAGAUAUCAGGAGGAACACCGAUGGCGAAGGCAGGUCUCUGGGCUGACACUGACGCUCAUGCACGAAAGCGUGGGGAGCAAACAGG